UUCAGGUUGCCCAGGCCAGGAAGGACUAGGGGAAGGCCAGCCUGCACACUUGCUGCAGCUAUAGCUGGUGGGGGAGGGACAGAAGGAGCCCCAGGGUGGGGUAGGGAUGUGGGGUGAAGAGGGGACUCCCUGGUUUUCCUAGCCGCCAGGGCUGUAGGUUCCCAAGCAGCCACAGCCCAGCCCAGAAGUGCAGGCACCACCCUGCUGGGGCACCCACCGCCCACGGCAAACUCCGAGCCCCAGGCUGAGUCACUCUUCCUGGGGGGCUGGGUGGGGAGAGCCCCCAGUGCCUAUGCAAAGCAGUCCUUGGCUUCCGGGAACCUCGGAAGGGCUGGGCCAGCUUGGCCCAUAGGACAGGCCAGGGCCCACGUGGCACAAGCAGGGCAUGAGCAGCAGGAAGAACGAGGUGGGAACAGCUCCCACUCCCCAGGGCUCUCAUCCCAGCGGAGAGACGCACGGAGGCCGGGCACAGGACUGGGAGGUCAAAUCUGCCAGGGUGGCCCAGCGCAGCAGGCCAGGUAGCACUGCGGGGCAGGGCCUUGUCCCCCAGGCACCCAGGGCCUGAUGGGACCCACCGGGGUGCCCAGAAAGUGUGUGUCCAAGCCACAGCAAAGACAAGAUGGUGGAAAGACGUAUUCAAUGUUCGGCGGGAGAGUGGCUGCAACCUGUACUCCUGCUGCAGAGAAUCUGACGCUGUCAUGAACCUGUGUGGAAAAGAUAUUGACAGACCAAAAGCUCAUCCGAACGUCCCAUCACUGGCACCUUCCUAAGGGACACUGUCUUGAGCAGAAAGAAAGUGGUUCAGAAUGAACAUGGUUGGAAGUCUGAGACUCAGGAAGAGUGAAGGGCAAAGAGGAAUGUAUGUAGUAAAUCUAAAAACCACUGGCUGUGCAAGCGAUGAUGAUAAUCAUGCCCAGUAGACUGUUAAAAACAUUAUUAAACAGGCUGACAGCAAUAGCAGGAAGUCAGAAGGGAGCACGGGACUUCACAUUUUCCAGGCUUCAAAGUCGAUAUAUUGCCAGGUGGGUAUAAGUGUGACUUCCUUCACUUUAGAUUUUGAUAAGUUUAACGUGCAAUGAGUAAUUUGUAGGCAGUGAGUAAAACACCAGAAACAGAGUCUGUAACCUCCAAACCAGAAGAAGGAAAAACCAAAAUGAGAGAAGAAGCGUCAAUGAAAACUAAGGCAAGAACAGAGAGAAAAAGGAACAUAGAAUAGAUGAGAUCAACAAAAGUUAAAUGAAAUCAAAUGGUAGGUACUGUGGUCAUCAGGCUCCAAGGCAGCCCCCAGUGAUCCUCACCCCCAGGCAAUCACGCAUGUGUGCUCCCCUCCUGUCUGGAUCAGGAUUGAGGUGCAUGGCCAGUAGAAUAUAGGGGCAGCAGGGGUAUGUGAUGUCUUGGGUGAGGUCAUAAAGACCUCAUGAAUCUAGUGGUCUCUCUUGAAUCACUCACUGGAGGAAGCCAGCUGCCAUGUUGUGAGGACACUCAGCCCUGUGGAAGGUCCACGUGGGAGGGACUGAUGGGGGGUGCACCAUCAGGGAGGUGGGUCCCCAGCUCCAGGCAAACCUUCAGAUGAGGCUGCCUCAGUUCACACCGGGACUGAGCUUCAGAAGCAUCCCUGAAGCAGCACCAUGCCGAGGAGCCCUUCUCGGACUCCUGAGCCACAGAAAAUGUGGAGGAUAAAUGUUUGCUUUGCCACAGCUCUGCUUUGCAGUGAUUUCUUAUGCAGAAUCAAUCACCACAGAAUCCAUGUACAUGAUUACAUUAAACGUAAAUGUUACAUGCACUGGUUAAAAGACACUGGCAGUCCGGAAUUUUAUGCAGAGAAAUAUGUAAAACAUAAGCUUAUAUAAUGAUGAAAGAAAAAACAUACCAGGAAAAUCCUCACCAAAAUAAAAUUAGUAACAAUCUGAAAACUCUAAAGCAAGAACUGACAGAAUUACAUGCAUCUUAUCAUACUUUUCUUAGUAACUGAUAAGCAAACUAAGAAAAUGAAAUAUGUCAACAACACAAUAAACAAAUCUGGCCCAACUCAUGAUACUGAACAAUUUCAGAAUUACAUAUUAUUUGCACCAAGAAAUAUUUACAAAAAUUGAUGACCAAAAGCAACUGACAAUCAUCUAAUGACUCACAAUCCUCCAUCUGACAUGUACUCCUCCAUCUGACAUGCACUCCUCCAUCUGACGUGCACUCCUCCAUCUGAUGUGCACUCCUCCAUCUGACGUGCACUCCUCCAUCUGACGUGCACACCUCCAUCUAACGUGCCCUCCUCCAUCUGAUGACGUGCACUCCUCCAUCUGACGUGCAUUCCUCCAUCUGACAAUGUGUACUCCUCCAUCUGACGUGCACUACUCCAUCUGACGAAAUGCACUCCUCCAUCAGAUGAUGUGUACUCCUCCAUCUGACAUGCACUCCUCCAUCUGACAACAUGCACUCCUCCAUCUGAUGAUGUGUACUCCUCCAUCUGACAUGCACUCCUCCAUCUGACAACGUGCACUCCUCCAUUUGACGUGAACUCCUCCAUCUAACGACGUGUACCCCUCCAUCUGACAACGUGCACUCCUCCAUCUGACAACAUGCACUCCUCCAUCUGACAACGUGCACUCCUCCAUCUGACAUGUACUCCUCCAUCUGACGAUGUGCACUCCAUCUGAUGUGCAUUCCUCCAUCUGAUGAUGUGUACUCCUUCAUCUGACGUGCACUCCGCCAUCUGACAACAUGCACUCCUCCAUCUGACGUGCACUCCUCCAUCUGACAACGUGCACUCCUACAUCUGACGACGUGCACUCCUCCAUCUGACGUGCACUCCUCCAUCUGACGUGCACUCCUCCAUCUGAAUGUGUACUCCUCCAUCUGAUGAUGUGUACUCCUCCAUCUGACAUGCACUCCUCCAUCUGACGUGCAUUCCUCCAUCUGACGUGCACUCCUCCAUCUGACAACGUGCAUUCCUCCAUCUGAUGUGCACUCCUCCAUCUGACCUGCACUCCUCCAUCUGAUGAUGUGCACUCCUCCAUCUGAUGUGCACUCUUCCAUCUGACAUUCACUCCUCCAUCUGAUGAUGUGUACUCCUCCAUCUGAUGUGCACUCCUCCAUCUGACGUGCACUCCUCCAUCUGAUGUGUACUCCUCCAUCUGACGUGCACUCCUCCAUCUGACGACAUGUACUCCUCCAUCUGACAAUGUGCACUCCUCCAUCUGAUGUGCACUCCUCCAUCUGACGAUGUGUACUCCUCCAUCUGAUGUGCACUCCUCCAUCUGAUAUGCACUCCUCCAUCUGACAUGCACUCCUCCAUCUGAUGACGUGCACUCCUCCAUCUGAUGUGCACUCCUCCAUCUGAUGAUGUGUACUCCUCCAUCUGACGUGCACUCCUCCAUGUGACGACGUGCACUCCUCCAUCUGACAUGCACUCCUCCAUCUGAUGACGUGCACUCCUCCAUCUGACGUGCACUCCUCCAUCUGAUGUGCACUCCUCCAUCUGAUGAUGUGUACUCCUCCAUCUGAUGUGCACUCCUCCAUCUGACGACGUGCACUCCUCCAUCUGACAUGCACUCCUCCAUCUGAUGAUGUGCACUCCUCCAUCUGACGACGUGCACUCCUCCAUCUGACAUGCACUCCUCCAUCUGAUGAUGUGCACUCCUCCAUCUGACGUGCACUCCUCCAUCUGAUGUGCACUCCUCCAUCUGACGUGCACUCCUCCAUCUGACGACGUGCACUCCUCCAUCUGACAUGCACUCCUCCAUCUGACGACGUGCACUCCUCCAUCUGAUAUGCACUCCUCCAUCUGAUGACAUGCACUUCUCCAUCUGACGUGCACUCCUCCAUCUGAUGAUGUGUACUCCUCCACCUGACAUGCAGUCCUCCAUCUGACGUGCACUCCUCCAUCUGACGACGUGCACUCCUCCAUCUGACGUGCACUCCUCCAUCUGAUGAUGUGCGCUCCUUCAUCUGACAUGCACUCCUCCAUCUGAUGAUGUGUACUCCUCCAUCUGACGACAUGCACUCCUCCAUCUGACGUGCACUCCUCCAUCUGACGAUGUGCACUCCUCCAUCUGACAUGCACUCCUCCAUCUGAUGACGUGCACUCCUCCAUCUGAUGAUGUGCACUCCUCCAUCUGACGACGUGCACUCCUACAUCUGACAUGCACUCCUCCUUCUGACAAUGUGUACUCCUCCGUCUGAUGUGCACUCCUCCAUCUGACAAUGUGCACUCCUCCAUCUGAUGCACACUCCUCCGACGACGUGCACUCCUCCAUCUGACAAUGUGUACUCCUCCAUCUGAUGAUGUGUACUACUCCAUCUGACAAUGUGUACUCCUCCAUCUGACAUGCACUCCUCCAUCUGACAAUGUGUACUCCUCCAUCUGAUGAUGUGUACUCCUCCAUCUGACGUGUACUCCUCCAUCUGACGUGCACUCCUCCAUCUGACAAUGUGUACUCCUCCAUCUGACAUGCAUUCCUCCAUCUGACAAUGUGCACUCCUCCAUCUGAUGUGCACGCCUCCAUUUGACAAUGUGUACUCCUCCAUCUGAUGCGCAUUCCUCCAUCUGACGACGUGCACUCCUCCAUCUGACGAUGUGUUUUGAUGAAAACCCAGCAUCCCCUGUCACAGUUAAGAAACUCCUGCCCACUCUUAACUCUGCAGGUCCAUGUAGGUGUGGAGCAGCAAGAAUAAGACACAAAAGGCAUAAAGAUCAUAAGGGAAGAAGUGAAACGGAAUUGAUUUGCAGGUGAUGUGACUUUGUCGAAAACCCAAAGGCAUCUACAAGUUGCCAGAAUCAAGAGGUGAAUUUACCAACAAGUUGGGACACAGUGUCCAUGUACAAAAUCAGGGCAUGUCCCACAUUUUAGCAACAAACCAGAACCAAGAGGUGAAUUUACCAACACGUCAGGACAGAGUGUCCAUGUACAAAAUCAGGGCAUGUCCCACAUUUUAGCAACAAACCAGAACCAAGAGGUGAAUUUACCAACACGUCAGGACACAGUGUCCAUGUACAAAACCAGGGCAUUUCGCACAUUUUAGCAACAAACAAUUGGAAAAUAAAAUUUCAAAUACUAUUGAUAAAAUUAUCAAAAUUUAUUUGUAAAAUAUACUUAUAAAAGUAUCAAAAAUCCAUCAAAUACCUAGGAAUAAAUGUAAUGAAAACUAUGCAAUAAUAUUGCUUGGAGAAACUGAAAAAAACCUAAAUAAACGUUGAGAUACAUCAUGUGCAGGGAUCAGAAGCCUCAAUAUUGUAGGAUAUCAAUUCUCCCCAAAAUGAUCUAUAGAUUUGACACAAUCUCAAUAAACAUCCCAG
rnacentral:lncRNA from 1 species